rnacentral:sRNA from 1 species
GCCAGGCAUGGUGGCGCAUGCCUGUAAUCCCAGCUACUCGGGAAGCUGAGGCAGGAGGAUUGUAAAUUCAAAGCCAACUUCAGCAACUUAGUGAGGACUUAAGCAACUUAGUAAGAUCCUGUCUCAG